CUAUCUAUCUAAAUCAGAAAUCCCUUUACUGCCAAGAGCCUGUCAGAGAGCCCUGUUUCCUGUCAGAAGUCAUACUCUUCCCAUAGGAAAGCACUGGCCUUGCUGGAUCUUUCUCUCCACACGAUCUUGUUUGCUCUCCUGGGACAUCAGCAGCUUUCCUGUGCCUCUCUGUGGGGAGAGGCUGAGCAGCUGCUGCCUGUUUACACCUGUUUUGCUCUUUAUCAGGAAGUUCAGUCAGAGGUCCAGAUGCAGCCUGGGGCUGUGGUCACAGCUCGCCAUCCCAUCCGCAUUGCUUGGUCUGCACCUUUGCUCUCCCAGCACCGGCACUAUCCUCGUCAUCUCGGCCACGAUUAUGGAUGCGCUGUCCUCUGCCCUGGCUGGAACAGUUGCCUUCCAGAAAGGUACUACCUGGCUUGAACAACAACAAAUGUCUUUUCCUGUAACUUGUAUUGCCCCACAGAGGAAGACGAACAGCUCUCCCACACUGGAGCCAUAACUUUACCCAUGAGCCUUCACUCUCAGCCAGGGCAGACAAGAGUCCAGCGCGUCUGAGACUGUUCCUGCUCUGACCCAGAUAUCCAACCUGCUAGUGUGUGAGAAUACUCCAUGUCUCAGUCAGGAUUUCCAUUGCUGUGAAGAGACACCGUGACCACAGCAACUCUUAUGAAGGAAAAGAUUUCAUGUGGACUGGCCUGCAGACCAGAGAUUUAGUCUACUGUUGUCAUGGCAGGAAACCUAGCAGUGUGCAUGGUGCUGGAGAGGAGCUAAGAGUUCUACAUCCCGAUCAGAAGGCAGCAGGAAGGGAACUUUGAGCCACUAGACCUGAGCUUCUGAGACUUCAAAGCCUACCCCUUGGUGACAUGCUUCCCUCAACAAGCCACACCCACUCCAGUACCUAAUAGUGCCACUCCCUGUGGAUCUGUGGGGGCCGUUUUCAUUCAAACUUCCACACCCCAUAUAUUUCUUGGGUUGCGUGUCUACUUUGUCACACAACAGAUAUAGCGUUCUGGCAAGCUGUAGCAUGUGCCACCAUUUUCUCUCAGAACCACUCAAAUAGGUGACAACACCCUCUUACACAAGCCUCUGCCACCUGGAAGAGAGUUCAUCCCGCUGCAAGAGAAGGAGGACUGAGAUUGAAGGGGUGUUUACUAAUUAUUUAUUUAUUUUUACUAAUUAUCAUUUACUAAUUCUGAUUUCUAACUAAGGGUUAGUGUUUAAGGUAUAAGGUGCUGGGGUGGCUAGUUUUAAUUGUUAACUUGACACCAUAUAGAGUCACCUGGGAAGAGCUUUGAUUGAUUACCUAGAUAAAGUUGGCCCACAGGCCUGCUAUUAUUUUGAUUGUGUUAAUCGAGGUGGGAAGACCUGCCCACUGUGGGUGGUAACAUUCCCUAGGAAGGGGGAUCAUGAACUGUAUGAAAGGGGAGAAAACGAAUUGGUCCUAAGCACGCAUGAUUUACUCCAGUGUGCUCUGCUCUUGACUGUGAAUGUAAUGUUCAUUCAAGGUCCUGCUGCUGUGACUUCCCUUCUAUGCCUUACUGUACCAUGGAAUUGUGAGCUAAAAUAAAGCCUUUCUUUCUUAAA